rnacentral:rRNA from 1 species
AUGGCAGAAUGCUUCAAUAAGGUGCUCAAGGGUGUACGUGCAUUACCCGUGACGGCAAUAGUUCAAUACACAUUUGACAAGUUGAAUGAAUACUUUUUAAAGCACUCAAUGGAGACUGAUAAGCAGAUUGCUGGUGAGAACAAGGAUAAGCACAAGUACAAUUUCCCACCAAAGGUCGAAGAAUGGUUGGAAUUUCAAUCAUGAAAGGCAGACUCCGAAGAAGCUGUACUAUAUGACGACAACGAGUGGAAGUAUGAGGUGAAAGAGCCCGGAGGAACCACAAACGAUGGCCGCCAACACGGAGGCCGGGCUUUUAAGGUCUCCCUAACACGGUGUGAUUGCAGCUGCAUGAGGCCGUCUUUGCUUCAUCUCCCAUGCUCGCACUUGUUAAAUGCAUCCCGGGUUAGGAAUGUGGACGUCAAUCACCCUCUUACCGUGAGGGAGUCCGAGUUCUCAAUCAUGACGGUAAAGAAUACAUGGACUCCACGGUUCCAGCCAUACUUGGACCAAUCACAAUGGCCGGAGUAUCAUGGAGUUCAACUAUGGCCGGACCCG